rnacentral:misc_RNA from 1 species
AAUGGCAAAAGCUACACCAUUGAUUCAUGGACAUGAGGAGACGGAGAAAUCUCAUAGUCACCACCCACACUCCUCAAAUGGUGAAAAAAAGUGACCCUGAUAACAUCUUAAUUGAUGUAUUUCGGUGGUCGCGGUGUAAAAAACCCCUCCCGCAGAAGGUCAUGCAUUCAGUUGGGAUCCCACUGCCCCUUGAAUACAUUGAGGUAUUGGAGGAAAAUCUUGACUGGGAGGACGUGCAAUGGUCUCAAACUGGCGUUAGGAUUGCUGGGAAGGAAUACACCCUUGCAAGGGUGCAUUUUCUGUCUCCAAAUUAGCCGUAUCUUGUUUCUUAU